ACAGUUGCCCCGGUGAGGGAAACGGAGGCGCCAUAGCCACGGUAGUCGUGGCGACCAAGCAACCCGGCAACGCGAGUCAACAACAACAACCACCGCCCGGCCGACCCCCAACCCUACCCCCCAGGCCCGGCCCGGGGACCCCAGCACGUCCCCUCCCUUUCCCAACAUCGACUCCGAGACCUCCGAAAAGCCUUUCCGCAGACAGAAGUGGGGAGAAGCGGAGGAAUUAAAAAAAAAAAAGCCUUAUUUAUUAUCAUUUUCCCCACCGUUGGCAUGGCAACACAGGCAUAUACUGAGCUACAGGCAGCCCCGCCACCAUCCCAGCCGCCACAGGCCCCGCCACAAGCCCAGCCCCAGCCGCCACCGCCACCACCCCCAGCGGCACCCCAGACCCCGCAGCCACCCACCGCUGCUGCCACCCCUCAGCCCCAAUAUGUCACCGAGCUGCAGAGCCCCCAGCCCCAGGCACAGCCACCGGGCGGCCAGAAGCAGUACGUGACGGAGCUCCCGGCUGUACCCGCACCCUCGCAGCCAACCGGUGCACCCACCCCUUCGCCUGCACCCCAGCAGUACAUCGUGGUCACUGUCUCUGAAGGUGCCAUGCGGGCCAGCGAGACGGUGUCGGAGGCCAGCCCCGGCUCCACCGCCAGCCAGACCGGCGUUCCUACUCAGGUGGUUCAGCAGGUGCAGGGCACCCAGCAGCGGCUGCUGGUCCAGACGAGCGUGCAGGCCAAGCCAGGCCACGUGUCGCCCCUCCAGCUGACCAACAUCCAAGUGCCCCAGCAGGCUCUUCCCACGCAGCGUCUGGUGGUGCAGAGCGCAGCCCCAGGCAGCAAAGGUGGCCAGGUCUCCCUGACGGUCCAUGGUACCCAGCAGGUGCACUCGCCCCCAGAGCAGUCGCCAGUGCAGACCAACAACUCUUCCAACAAGACGGCCGGGGCCCCCACGGGCACUGUGCCACAGCAGCUGCAGGUCCACGGCGUCCAGCAGAGUGUCCCCGUCACCCAAGAGAGAUCUGUGGUCCAGGCCACUCCACAAGCGCCCAAACCCGGCCCGGUGCAGCCGCUGACCGUGCAGGGCCUCCAGCCAGUCCACGUGGCUCAAGAGGUGCAGCAGCUCCAGCAGGUGCCCGUCCCACACGUGUACUCCAGCCAGGUGCAGUAUGUGGAGGGCGGCGAUGCCAGCUACACAGCCAGUGCCAUCCGUUCCAGCACCUACUCCUACCCCGAGACGCCGCUGUACACGCAGACGGCAAGCACCAGCUACUAUGAGGCCGCAGGCACGGCCGCCCAGGUCAGCACCCCCGCCACCUCCCAGGCGGUGGCCAGCAGUGGCUCCAUGCCCAUGUACGUGUCCGGCAGCCAGGUCGUCGCCAGCUCCACCAGCACUGGGGCUGGGGCCAGCAACAGCAGCGGAGGUGGUGGCAGUGGUGGUGGCGGCGGCGGCGGCGGGGGAGGAGGUGGCGGGGGUGGCAGUGGCAGCACCGGAGGCGGCGGCAGCGGAGCAGGCACCUACGUGAUCCAAGGCGGCUACAUGCUGGGCAGUGCCAGCCAGUCUUACUCUCACACCACCCGUGCCUCACCAGCCACGGUCCAGUGGCUCCUGGACAACUAUGAGACGGCUGAGGGUGUGAGUCUGCCACGGAGCACCCUCUACUGCCACUACCUGCUGCACUGCCAGGAACAGAAGCUGGAGCCUGUCAACGCCGCCUCCUUCGGCAAGCUCAUCCGCUCCGUCUUCAUGGGCCUGCGAACCCGCCGUCUGGGCACCAGGUAGCGCCGUCCGUCUACUCCCAGCAGCCCCUGGGGAAUUGGCGGGCAUGCCAAGGCCCACCCCCACUCCAGGUCAUCUCAGGCAGUCCAGUCCAGCCCAGCCCCGCCUGCCUCCGCGAGGCUCCUUGACAGCCCCGCUCAGUCCCACCCCAGGCCUUUUGCACUGGCGGUGCCUUCCACCUCAUGUGCUUCUCACCCCUCCUUACUUGCACGUCCCCUGACUGCCUCAACUAAAACCGCAGCCUCCCCUCUCCCCUGCCUGACACCCCCAGCCGUGCUUUAUUUUUCUCUUUAGCAUUGAGCACCCUCACAUGUGCCUUUUUUUUUUUUUUUUUUUUUUUGGAGACAGAGUCUCACUCUG
rnacentral:sRNA from 1 species